GAACCAAUAAGAAGAGUGAUCUCAUUUCCACCAAUAGAAAGCAAGUCCUCAGAAAAGCUUGGAGAUCCCCUUCAGAGGUGCUGACUCAUUUCUCCUUCCUAUCUAAGCAUGUGUUGCCGGAGAAACCACGAAAAGAAAUUGGAUUACAGAAAAUAUGAAACUCAUCCUUGUUCAUGUAUGCAAUAACAAACAAAAGAGAAAGGUAUCCUGGGGAUAUAGUGUACCUUUUAUGUGGGACCUAGAUGUUCCCAGGCAAAUGAAUGGAACUAGAGGAAACCUUUUGCUGGAGAGCCUUCAUCCAGUAGCUGAUGGAAACAGAAGCAGACAACAACAGCUAAACACUGAACUGAACUUCAGGAAUACAGUUGCAGAAAGGGAAGAGUCAUGAGCAAAGGGGUGAAGACCAGACUGCUGAAACACACAGACACAGUUGAUCUGAACCAUGGAGAUCUCUAGGCCCACAUAUUCAUCACUGGGAAACCAGCAUGGAACUCAUACAGGCACCAUGAAUCUGGGUGUCAGGUUAGGGGACUCAGGAAAUCUAUAGGGUCACUUGUAGUAGUUCAGUACUUUUCCCUAGCACAGGAAUGAACUUUCAGAGCCCUUUUCACAUAGAGGGAUACUCCCUCAGAAUUUUCACAAGGGUGAGGGCCUAUGGCCUAUCUGAGGGUCUAUGAGAGACCCUGGAGACUCCCUAUGGUUGGUUGUUUACUGUGAGGGGCAGGCAGGGGGGGAUGGAGAGGGAACUGGUGUUGAUAUGUUAAACAAUCAUGUAUCUCAUUUAAAUACAAAUGUGGAGAAAAAGGAAAUAAAAAACUUUCAUUUUUAAUUAGACUGAUAAUAGAGGGUGAUGGGGAUGUCCUUCAAUAUGCAGUGAAUAAGUGUUUCUCUCAUUGGUUAAUGUGAAAUACUGUUUAAAGCAAUGAACAGGCAGUAUGUCGACAGGCAGAAAAUGUCAUUUGGGCUAGCAGACUAGGAGGAUUUUGGGAGAGAAACACAGAGAGUGAAUCUCAUGACAAACACCAUGCUACUACUAGGAAGUCAGGAGGCUCAGGUACUCAAUUGUAAGCAAAGACCACAUGGAACUACACACAUUAAUGGAAAUGGGUUAUUAUCUAUGAGACCACUUGGCACAAAGAGGCAUGAGAAACUUCUGCAUACACCAUUCUGUUUGUGGAGUGACAAGUGAUUUUAUGUUUUGUAUGCAGAGAUGGCUCAGAAUCCCUGUUCUCAAGUUCACAUGAUCAUCAAUGUGUACUUUGGAUGUGGGAAGGGAAUAAGGGGGGGGCAGAGGCAAACAAAAGUCUGAAACAAUGGAGGAGUAGAGGUGGGUAAGAACAGUGAUGUCUGGAUAUAGAGAGGAAGUACAGCUAUGGAGAAAGGUCCAGCAUAAGGGGAAAUAUUAGGGGAUUCACAGGGAUGAACCUAUCUUAGAAUCCAAGAAGUGGUGGAGGAGAUGUCAUUGAUUCCCUUCUCUAAAAUGAAGUUGACGUCUGCCUUGGUUACAAUUCCUAGAGCUUCAUUCAGUAUCUGUUCUAAGCAAAAAUAGGUACCCACAGUUAAGCACUUAAACCUCCCCCUGGAAUCCAGUUUUGGAGAGGUAGGAGGGAUGAGUAAAGGAUCCCAGAUGGUAUUGCAAAAAACAGCAGAAACAGUUGACCAGACCCAGAGAUAGCAUGGGGACACUUGUCAUAAAACAGGGAACAGGACUGUAGGAAUCAAGCCCUCUAAAUGUGGGUGUCAGCUGGGAAGCCAAGAUACUCUAUGGGAACUCCAGCAGUAGAGGCAGUCUUCAACCCUAGAGCACAAAGGAACUCUGGGAGCUCAUUCCUUCUACAGAGGUACUACUACACACCAGAUGAAGCAAGGAAGGCCUAUGCCCUUCAGCAAAUAACAUGAAAGAGUCUGAAGGUCCCUGGUAAAGUGCCUCCCUUUCCCUUAGGAGUAUUUCAGAAUGGGUUGUGGGGCCUGGUAGGGAACAUGGGAGGAAGGGAGGGCCAGGGAAUGGGGGAUAGACAUUUACAUAUGAGUAGUAAUUAAAGAAUUUAAAUAAAGUCAUCAAAAAAGAAAAAGAAACUGUGUUGACCACAGGAGUCAUGAAUAACAGCAAUAUGCAAACUUCUAUUGAGGUGUUUGGCAUCCUGAGCCCACUUGGUGUGUUUUAUAUUAGAAACACACACACACACACACACACACACACACACACACACACACACACACACACACACUCGAAUACAAUUAAAGCAGACGUUAAGGUGUCAAAACUAGUUUGAAAAACAGAUUGUUCAUUAGGAAUGUACUCAAGAGAUAGAGCGUCAUGUACUACCAGGUUGGUAAGAGAAAAGAGAGACCCGCAAAUGUGUGACACUCGUAUUAUUAGCCUUGCUACAUCAUUCUGAAAAUGUCCAAGCAUAUGUGGUCAGCAUCACCUGUGCAAGCCUCCUGAUGUUGGUGGGCAUGGACAGCCUCACAUGUGUCAGCCUUCAAAUUGGUGUGACAAGCAUUCCCCACUACAACAGACAAUGGGAAACAGAUUCUUUGUAACCACUCUUAGUGCUAAAAUAAUGCUACUGUUCUUGUGGUUAAAUUAUGAUGUAUACUAUGUCAUCAUUAAUUUUCUGUAUCUAAAUGCUUAUCUAUUAGAAAUUGCUUCAGAUGAAUAUACAUAAAUAAAUGAAACUCA
ensembl:lncRNA